UACGUGGGGGGCAAGCGUUGUUCGGAAUUACUGGGCGUAAAGGGCUCGUAGGCGGCCAACUAAGUCAGACGUGAAAUCCCUCGGCUUAACCGGGGAACUGCGUCUGAUACUGGAUGGCUUGAGUUUGGGAGAGGGAUGCGGAAUUCCAGGUGUAGCGGUGAAAUGCGUAGAUAUCUGGAGGAACACCGGUGGCGAAGGCGGCGCGCUGGACCUCUUCUGACGCUGAGGCGCGAAAGCCAGGGGAGCAAACGGG
rnacentral:rRNA from 1 species